rnacentral:rRNA from 1 species
AGUGAACGCUGGCGGUAGGCCUAACACAUGCAAGUCGAACGGCAGCACAGUAAGAGCUUGCUCUUACGGGUGGCGAGUGGCGGACGGGUGAGGAAUACAUCGGAAUCUACUUUUUCGUGGGGGAUAACGUAGGGAAACUUACGCUAAUACCGCAUACGACCUACGGGUGAAAGCAGGGGAUCUUCGGACCUUGCGCGAUUGAAUGAGCCGAUGUCGGAUUAGCUAGUUGGCGGGGUAAAGGCCCACCAAGGCGACGAUCCGUAGCUGGUCUGAGAGGAUGAUCAGCCACACUGGAACUGAGACACGGUCCAGACUCCUACGGGAGGCAGCAGUGGGGAAUAUUGGACAAUGGGCGCAAGCCAGAUCCAGCCAUACCGCGUGGGUGAAGAGGGCCUUCGGGUUGUAAAGCCCUUUUGUUGGGAAAGAAAAGCAGCAGGUUAAUACCCCGCUGUUCUGACGGUACCCAAAGAAUAAGCACCGGCUAACUUCGUG